rnacentral:rRNA from 1 species
CCUACGGGCGGCAGCAGUGGGGGAUAUUGCACAAUGGGGGAAACCCUGAUGCAGCGACGCCGCGUGGGUGAAGAAGCGCCUCGGCGCGUAAAGCCCUGUCAGCAGGGAAGAAAAUGACGGUACCUGAAGAAGAAGCCCCGGCUAACUACGUGCCAGCAGCCGCGGUAAUACGUAGGGGGCCAGCGUUAUCCGGAUUUACUGGGUGUAAAGGGGGCGCAGACGGCGAUGCAAGCCAGGAGUGAAAGCCCGGGGCCCAACCCCGGGACUGCGCUUGGAACUGCGUGGCGAGAGUGCAGGAGGGGAGAGCGGAAUUCCUGGUGUAGCGGGGAAAAGCGGAGAGAUCAGGAGGAAAACCGGUGGCGAAGGCGGGCCGCUGGACUGCAACUGACGUUGAGGCCCGAAAGCGUGGGGAGCAAACAGGAUUAGAUACCCUUGUAGUC